GACGAACGCUGGCGGCGUGCCUAAUACAUGCAAGUUGAGCGCUGAAGGUUGGUACUUGUACCAACUGGAUGAGCAGCGAACGGGUGAGUAACGCGUGGGGCAUCUGCCUUUGAGCGGGGGACAACAUUUGGAAACGAAUGCCAAUACCGCAUAAAAACUUUAAACACAAGUUUUAAGUUUGAAAGAUGCAAUUGCAUCACUCAAAGAUGAUCCCGCGUUGUAUUAGCUAGUUGGUGAGGUAAAGGCUCACCAAGGCGAUGAUACAUAGCCGACCUGAGAGGGUGAGCGGCCACAUUGGGACUGAGACACGGCCCAAACGCCUACGGGAGGCAGCAGUAGGGAAUCUUCGGCAAUGGACGAAAGUCUGACCGAGCAACGCCGCGUGAGUGAAGAAGGUUUUCGGAUCGUGAAACUCUGUUGGUAGAGAAGAACGUUGGUGAGAGUGGAAAGCUCAUCAAGUGACGGUAACUACCCAGAAAGGGACGGCUAACUACGUG
rnacentral:rRNA from 1 species